rnacentral:rRNA from 1 species
GACGAACGCUGGCGGCAUGCCUAACACAUGCAAGUCGAACGGGAUGGCACCUUCGGGUGCCGGCGAGUGGCGAACGGGUGAGUAACACGUGGGUAACCUGCCCUUCACUGGGGGAUAACCGAGGGAAACUUCGGCUAAUACCGCAUGAUGUGCGAUGCCAUGAGGUGUCGUACCAAAACUCCGGUGGUGAAGGAUGGGCCCGCGGCGGAUUAGCUUGUUGGUGGGGUAAUGGCCUACCAAGGCGACGAUCCGUAGCUGGUCUGAGAGGACGAUCAGCCACACUGGGACUGAGACACGGCCCAGACUCCUACGGGAGGCAGCAGUGGGGAAUCUUGCGCAAUGGGCGAAAGCCUGACGCAGCAAUGCCGCGUGAGGGAAGAAGGUCUUAGGAUUGUAAACCUCUUUCAGCAGGGACGAAAACAGACGGUACCUGCAGAAGAAGCCCCGGCUAACUACGUG